rnacentral:rRNA from 1 species
UACGGAAUGUGCAAACGUUAUUCGGAAUCACUGGGCUUAAAGAGUCCGUAGGCGGCAUGUUAGGUGAGGUGUGAAAUCCCCCCGGCUCAACCGAGGAAUUGCGCUUCAAACCGGCGUGCUUGAGGAAGAUAGAGGUGGGCGGGAACUGAUGGUGGAGCGGUGAAAUGCGUUGAUAUCAUCAGGAACACCGGAGGCGAAAGCGGCCCACUGGGUCUUAUCUGACGCUGAGGGACGAAAGCUAGGGGAGCGAACGGG